rnacentral:rRNA from 1 species
ACGCAGUAGCAAUACUGAGUGGCAAACGGGUGAGUAUAAUGUGGGAAUCUGCCUUUUGGUUCGGAAUAACACGAGGAAACUUGUGCUAAUACCGGAUAAGCCCUUACGGGGAAAGUUUUAAUGCCAAAAGAUGAGCCCGCACUUGAUUAGCUAGUUGGUAAGGUAAUGGCUUACCAAGGCAACGAUCAAUAGCUGUUCUUAGAGGAAGACCAGCCACAUUGGGACUGAGACACGGCCCAAACUCCUACGGGAGGCAGCAGUGGGGAAUCUUGCACAAUGGGGGAAACCCUGAUGCAGCGAUGCCGCGUGAGUGAAGAAGGCCCUUGGGUUGUAAAACUCUUUCGUCGGGGAAGAAAAUGACUGUACCCGAAUAAGAAGGUCCGGCUAACUUCGUGCCAGCAGCCGCGGUAAUACGAAGGGACCUAGCGUAGUUCGGAAUUACUGGGCUUAAAGAGUUCGUAGGUGGUUAAAAAAGUUGAUGGUGAAAUCCCAAGGCUCAACCUUGGAACUGCCAUCAAAACUUUUUAGCUAGAGUGUGAUAGAGGAAAGUGGAAUUUCUAGUGUAGAGGUGAAAUUCGUAGAUAUUAGAAAGAACAUCAAAAGCGAAGGCAACUUUCUGGACCAUUACUGACCCUGAGGAACGAAAGCAUGGGUAGCGAAGAGGAUUAGAUACCCUCGUAGUCCAUGCCGUAAACGAUGUGUGCUAGACGUUGGAAACUUAAUUUUCAGUGUCGCAGCGAAAGCAUUAAGCACACCGCCUGGGGAGUACGACCGCCAGGUUAAAACUCAAAUGAAUUGGACGGGGACCCCACAA